UCAUACAGAGUACCAGCAGGAACCGGCGUGACUACUAACAUUAUUUUCCUUACGGUGCUUUUUGUCAUAAUCAUGGGACAACUGUUCACAUUCCGGGCAUCAUCUUGGAACACACAAUUUGGGGAAUGGGUUCAGAGUGACUCUAUGAAGACACUGAUUGGAACAUUAGCAGGGACGGACAGACUCACUAUGAGGAAACAAGCGCCAAGCAUCACAGCUUUCAUCUUCACAUCCAGGUCCAGCGGGAACUGGAUCCCGAAGUUAUCUGCAUCCGUGAAGGCCUCUCUCACAAAACCAGACCACUGCUUGGAAAUUUUGCCAACAACGGAUUCCUCAUCUAGAGAUUUGAGCUGCGUAGCAAAAGUAAAGUCAUAAACAUUUCCAAAAUCUAAAUGGCAAACAUAGCUUUCAGAGUCACAAUUUGAGAAAACAAAUAUUUGCCUUAAAUUAUAUAAAGUGGUAAGCAUCAGCAGAUUGAGCUAUUCAUUCUGUGCGAAC
rnacentral:lncRNA from 1 species